UGGGGAUUAGCUUAGUGGCAUAAGCGCCUGCCUUGCAAGCAGGCAGUUGUGAGUUUGAUCUCCGGUGUGAGUGUGAGUGUGAGUGUGAUGUGAGUGUGAGUGUGUGUGAGUUCGAUCCCCAG
rnacentral:tRNA from 1 species